UACGUAGGGACCGAGCGUUGUCCGGAAUCAUUGGGCGUAAAGGGUGCGUAGGCGGCGCGGUAAGUCGGGUGUGAAAUCUUGGAGCUUAACUCCGAAACUGCAUUCGAUACUGCCGUGCUUGAGGACUGGAGAGGAGGCUGGAAUUUACGGUGUAGCGGUGAAAUGCGUAGAUAUCGUAAGGAAGACCAGUGGCGAAGGCGGGUCUCUGGACAGUUCCUGACACUGAGACACGAAGGCCAGGGGAGCAAACGGG
rnacentral:rRNA from 1 species